rnacentral:rRNA from 1 species
AAGAACAACUCUCAGCAACGGAUAUCUUGGCUCUUGCAACGAUGAAGAACGCAGCGAAAUGCGAUACGUAGUGUGAAUUGCAGAAUUCCGCGAAUCAUCGAGUCUUUGAACGCAAGUUGCGCCCGAGGCUUGUCCGAGGGCAUUUCCGCUAGAGCGUCACC